GACGAACCGUGCGAACGUUGUUCGGAUUCACUGGGCUUAAAGGGCGCGUAGGCGGACGGUCAAGUCAGGGGUGAAAUCUUUCAGCUCAACUGGAAAAGUGCCUCUGAUACUGAUCGUCUCGAGGGAGGUAGGGGCAUGUGGAACUUCCGGUGGAGCGGUGAAAUGCGUAGAUAUCAGGAGGAACACCGAUGGCGAAGGCAGUUCUCUGGGCCGUAACUGACGCUGAGGAGCGAAAGCGUGGGGAGCGAACAGG
rnacentral:rRNA from 1 species